rnacentral:rRNA from 1 species
UUUGACAAUUUGACCUCAAAUCAGGUAGGACUACCCGCUGAACUUAAGCAUAUCAAUAAGCGGAGGAAAAGAAACUAACAAGGAUUCCCCUAGUAACUGCGAGUGAAGCGGGAAAAGCUCAAAUUUGAAAUCUGGUGGUCUUUGGCCAUCCGAGUUGUAAUCUAGAGAAGUGUUACCCGCGUCGGACCGUGUACAAGUCUCCUGGAAUGGAGCGUCAUAGAGGGUGAGAAUCCCGUCUUUGACACGGACUACCGAGGCUUUGUGGUGCGCUCUCAAAGAGUCGAGUUGUUUGGGAAUGCAGCUCAAAAUGGGUGGUAAAUUCCAUCUAAAGCUAAAUAUUGGCGAGAGACCGAUAGCGAACAAGUACCGUGAGGGAAAGAUGAAAAGAACUUUGGAAAGAGAGUUAAACAGUACGUGAAAUUGCUGAAAGGGAAACGCUUGAAGUCAGUCGCGUUGGCCGGAAAUCAGCCUUGCUUUUGCUGGGUGUACUUUCUGGUUGACGGGCCAGCAUCAGUUUUGACCGGUGGAAAAAGUCUAGAGGAAUGUGGCAUCUUCGGAUGUGUUAUAGCCUUUGGUCGUAUACAUCGGUUGGGACUGAGGAACUCAGCACGCCGAAAGGCCGGGUCUUUGACCACGUUCGUGCUUAGGAUGCUGGCAUAAUGGCUUUAAUCGACCCGUCUUGAAACACGGACCAAGGAGUCUAACAUGCCUGCGAGUGUUUGGGUGGAAAACCCGGACGCGAAAUGAAAGUGAAAGUUGAGAUCCUUGUCAUGGGGAGCAUCGACGCCCGGACCAGAAGUUUUCUGACGGCCCUGCGGUAGAGCAUGUAUGUUGGGACCCGAAAGAUGGUGAACUAUGCCUGAAUAGGGUGAAGCCAGAGGAAACUCUGGUGGAGGCUCGUAGCGAUUCUGACGUGCAAAUCGAUCGUCAAAUUUGGGUAUAGGGGCGAAAGACUAAUCGAACCAUCUAGUAGCU